rnacentral:rRNA from 1 species
AGGAUUAACGCUGGCGGCGUGCAUGAAACAUGCAAGUCGAGCGCGGUGUGAUGCGGGGUAACCCAAUUCACAUCUAGCGGCGAACGGGUGAGUAACACGUGAGCAACCUACCUUUGAGUUGGGGAUAGCCCUGGGAAACCAGGAUUAAUACCCGAUGUGGUCACAACAGGACAUCCUGAUGUGAGUAAAGGCGUAAGCCGCUCAAUGACGGGCUCGCGGCCUAUUAGCUUGUUGGUGGGGUAACGGCCUACCAAGGCGAUGAUGGGUAGCUGGUCUGAGAGGACGAUCAGCCACACUGGACUGAACACGCG